AAUGAACGUUGGCGGCGUGGAUUAGGCAUGCAAGUCGUGCGGAAAGGCUCCUUCGGGAGUACUCGAGCGGCGAAAGGGAGAGUAACGCGUGGAUAUCUACCCCCUGGCCCGGGAUAGCGGCGGGAAACUGCCGGUAAUACCAGAUAAUAUCUGCGGAUCAAAGGUGUGAUUCCGCCGGGGGAUGAGUCCGCGUCCUAUUAGCUAGUUGGUGAGGUAACGGCCCACCAAGGCUGAGAUGGGUACCGGGUGUGAGAGCAUGGCCCGGCUCACUGGGACUGAGACACUGCCCAGACACCUACGGGUGGCUGCAGUCGAGAAUCUUCGGCAAUGGGCGCAAGCCUGAUCGAGCGACGCCGCGUGCGGGAUGAAGGCCUUCGGGUUGUAAACCGCUGUCAGAGGGGAGGAAAUGCAUGGGGGUUCUCCCUCAUGUUUGACCUAUCCUCAGAGGAAGUACGGGCUAAGUUCGUGCCAGCAGCCGCAGUAA
rnacentral:rRNA from 1 species